rnacentral:misc_RNA from 1 species
UUACAGUAAUCUAAUUUAAUUUAAACGCUUCAGGCCCACAAUCAGGGAUUGGUUUUGGGAACGAAGCCUCAAACGGAGACGAAUCGAGUUAAACGGCCGUAGUUCUCACCAUGGAGGUAGAAUCACACUUACAUGCGACUAGACUCAGAUCGAUCAGGGACUAGUAUAUAGUAGAAGGAAAUGAAUGACGCGUAGCGUGCGAAAAUCAAAUGACAGGCAUGGCAGAGCAUCGUCUGGGCUUCACCUCUGCUUUUCCUGCAGGCACUGAAGAUUAUUCUGACGACGAAGAUGGGCUUUGCAUCAUCGACGGCAAUGCACUUUCAAAUAUGAAUCAGCAACCAUCAUCUGCAAAUGUUCCCGAAUGGGAUACUGUAGGUUCAGUCAAAUCAUCAACAGAAACUCCAUUUCAAGAUAAUGACAGGAGCUUGGAGGGUGGUAGGAAUGCUGAGUCAUCAGCAAACAGUUCUACAAAAAGGGACAGGCAGGGAUUUCCAAUUAUUUUGGAUGACUUUCGGAAAGCAGUAUGCCGAGGAAACCUACAGGAUGUGGAAGCUUUCAGAUUACAAGGUGUUCCAGUAGAUACUUCCUUGAGAGCAGGAUGGACAGCUCUCAUGUAUGCAGUGUUCUAUGGAAAUACUCAGAUUGCGGAAUACCUUGUGCAAGAAGGGGCUGAUGUUAACUUUAACAAGGCAUCAUAUAUGUACACGCCAUUGAUUGCAGCUGCAUCAAGUGAACAGGAAAAGGGUCAUGUUACAUCAUGUUUGACCAUUUUACUUGAGAUGGGUGCUAAUCCAAACGUGCAUGAAAGAAGUCACAUGACUCCACUGAUGUUUGUUGCAAAGAAUGGAAACAUGGAUGCGGUGCAGAAAUUAAUUGACUUCAGAGCUGAGACAGACAGACAAGACAACCGUGGGUGGACAGCUCUUUGUUAUGCUGCCAACCAAGGAUACACCAGUGUUGCAGAAUGUCUGUUGAAUGCUAAAGCUGAUGCCAAGAAAAGAUGUUCUGAGGGAACAGCACGGGAUAUAGCCUGUAGUCAUGGCUAUAUUGAGCUUACAGAACUUAUAGAGAGAAGUAUGUCAUCUGGCAGGACAAAUGAUGAAACUCCUCAUCCAGAACAACAUUCCUUUUUAUCACCAUCUAGGUCUGUGUCAAUGCAACCGACAACCUCUUUGUCUAUAAAUCUGACCAGCAGUGCAUCUGGAGAAGCCUGUGAUGACCUUGAUUUGUUUCUUUGUGGUUUAGACCUUGGACACCUCAGUCCUUGUUUCCGUCAGCAUGCAGUCAAGUUCUCUGUCCUCCUUCAGAUGUCAGAGGCAGAUUUAGAAAAGAUAAAAAUCAUGACGGAACCUGCAGGUGGAGCUACACAUACCUCCAUGGACAGAUGCAUGGUCUAUCUCAGCUUGAACUGGAAGAUAAUUGAAAAAAAAAAACAAUUGAAAGGAAAAUCAUGGGUUGAAGAAAAGAGGCCAAUUUUAUUGAGAUCGCCAGCAAAAUACAUUAAUAAUUCCAUACCCUGACCUCGCAGGUUCAGAACGCACUGAGGGAACAGUCACCCAACAAAUAUUGCUUUUUUAGGAAGAAUUGAAAAACACGAUUGAAUGGGAAGUAGAGCAAAUAGGAAAGAGAGUCACUGGGAAAAGUGUGUUCUUGAGGGCUGCAAAGAUCGUUGCCGCUCACCCCCGAAAGCGGGACAUCAUGCUGUUCCGGUGGCUGGACGAUUGGCUGAUCGUCAGCAGAUCGUUCAACAAAGCAGAGGUUUCUACCCGCGUUACUUGCAAGAUCACAAAUUGCCUGGGCUUCAUCAUCAACCAUGAGAAGUUGAAUCUCACCCCAACGCAAUACCCGACCGUAUCUAGGGGCAUCUAUCAACCUUCAACAGGAUCUUCUUACAGUAUAUAAGGGAUACCUGCUCCCCCUUCUAGAGUAUGCUGUGCCACCCAGGAAUGGCAGAAUAACUAAACAUCAUGCAAAUCUUCUUGAACGUGUACAGAAAUGUUCACUCAAACUUAUAUUAGGAUCCGAUCAUAAUCAUUAUCAACAUGCCUUAGGUCCUCAAAUUUGCCACAGAUGUGAAAGCAAACUCAAAGUUGAAUAAUGUUAUCCCCACUCGACCAAGCAAUGAUAAAGUGCUUCGAAAUUCCAGUGAUCCCCAGUUGCAAUGUAGAACAAAUAGAUUCAAGAGUAAUGCAGUACCCUACCUCACUGACUCUAACUGUAAUUGAUUCCACUUUAUAAGUUGAUGACUGGUCUCUGAUAUGUUCUUAAACUAUCUUUUAACUUGUUCUUUGUUCUUUGUUUUAAGUUGUGAUGACUAGUUUGUUCAAGGUGCAUGGAUCUUGUAACCUUUAAACAAUCUUCACCUAGUAUUCUUUUUAUUGUUAUUAGACAAAUUUUGUGAGUUGUCAGUCUCUGAUCUGUUCUCAAAUCUUUUAAUUAAUUUGUGGUUCUUACAGUUUCCUCAGGUUGUGGCCAUUAUUUAUUUUGAAGUGGUAAAAUGGACUUGAAUUAGUACUGAUGUUAUUGACGUCCCUGCUCUGCUGUCCUUGUCAUCGUCUACACGUAUUGCUGGGGUCCUGUCUGUGGUCAUUGUUGGUUUUUGUUUAUUGUGAACCAUUUAUUUUUAACUUAAUUUAACCUCAUAAAAACUAUUGUGGCGAAUGCAACUGACACCUCUUGUGGUGGACCCAGUAACCGGCCGGAUC